GCUACGGUGGCCAAGUGGUUAGCGCACUUGCCUUUCACCUCUGAGGCUGCAGGUUCGAAUCUCACUAAGUACCUUCUCAGUGCGACUCGAACCCAGUCCCCAUGUGAAAAGAGUAAAAAGUCAACGCUCUGCCGAACGCCGUGGGUUUUCCCCGGGUACUCCGGUUUCCUCCCACAGGGAAAAGUUGACAGGGUGGGUUAGGUAAAAGGGCCCACAGUAAUUGGCAUAUGCUGUUGUGGUGACCCUGCCCUAGUUGGCGAAGCUAAUAAAAACAAAAACAAAAACGAAUAGGGCGUCGACAGAAAGCCUAUGGACCGGAGAUUCGAAAAGUACAAUUUUCAGACUGG